CUUAGCCUACGGGGGGCAGCAGUGGGGAAUAUUGCACAAUGGGGGAAACCCUGAUGCAGCGACGCCGCGUGAGUGAGGAAGUAUUUCGGUAUGUAAAGCUCUAUCAGCAGGGAAGAAAAUGACGGUACCUGACUAAGAAGCCCCGGCUAACUACGUGCCAGCAGCCGCGGUAAUACGUAGGGGGCAAGCGUUAUCCGGAUUUACUGGGUGUAAAGGGAGCGCAGGCGGCUUGGCAAGUCUGAUGUGAAAGGCUGGGGCUCAACCCCAGGACUGCAUUGGAAACUGUUAGGCUAGAGUGUCGGAGG
rnacentral:rRNA from 1 species